rnacentral:rRNA from 1 species
AAGAGCUUGCUCUUAUGAAGUUAGCGGCGGACGGGUGAGUAACACGUGGGUAACCUGCCCAUAAGACUGGGAUAACUCCGGGAAACCGGGGCUAAUACCGGAUAACAUUUUGCACUGCAUGGUGCGAAAUUGAAAGGCGGCUUCGGCUGUCACUUAUGGAUGGACCCGCGUCGCAUUAGCUAGUUGGUGAGGUAACGGCUCACCAAGGCAACGAUGCGUAGCCGACCUGAGAGGGUGAUCGGCCACACUGGGACUGAGACACGGCCCAGACUCCUACGGGAGGCAGCAGUAGGGAAUCUUCCGCAAUGGACGAAAGUCUGACGGAGCAACGCCGCGUGAGUGAUGAAGGCUUUCGGGUCGUAAAACUCUGUUGUUAGGGAAGAACAAGUGCUAGUUGAAUAAGCUGGCACCUUGACGGUACCUAACCAGAAAGCCACGGCUAACUACGUGCCAGCAGCCGCGGUAAUACGUAGGUGGCAAGCGUUAUCCGGAAUUAUUGGGCGUAAAGCGCGCGCAGGUGGUUUCUUAAGUCUGAUGUGAAAGCCCACGGCUCAACCGUGGAGGGUCAUUGGAAACUGGGAGACUUGAGUGCAGAAGAGGAAAGUGGAAUUCCAUGUGUAGCGGUGAAAUGCGUAGAGAUAUGGAGGAACACCAGUGGCGAAGGCGACUUUCUGGUCU